rnacentral:rRNA from 1 species
AGCCCGGGGAAACCCGAUUAAUACCGCAUACGCCCUGAGGGGAAAGCAGGGGAUCUUCGGACCUUGCACUAUUGGAUGAGCCCGCGUCGGAUUAGCUAGUUGGUGGGGUAAAGGCCUACCAAGGCGACGAUCCGUAGCUGGUCUGAGGGGAUGAUCAGCCACACUGGGACUGAGACACGGCCCAGACUCCUACGGGAGGCAGCAGUGGGGAAUAUUGCGCAAUGGGGGCAACCCUGACGCAGCCAUGCCGCGUGUGUGAAGAAGGCCCUAGGGUUGUAAAGCACUUUCAAUAGGGAGGAAAGGUGUAAGGUUAAUACCCUUGCACUGUGACGUUACCUAUAGAAGAAGCACCGGCUAACUCCGUGCCAGCAGCCGCGGUAAUACGGAGGGUGCGAGCGUUAAUCGGAAUGACUGGGCGUAAAGCGCGCGUAGGUGGUUUUUUAAGUUGGAUGUGAAAGCCCUGGGCUCAACCUGGGAACUGCACCCAAAACUGGGAGACUAGAGUACAGUAGAGGGGGGUAGAAUUUCCGGUGUAGCGGUGAAAUGCGUAGAGAUCGGAAGGAAUACCAGUGGCGAAGGGGCCCCCUGGACUGAUACUGACACUGAGGUGCGAAAGGUGGGUAGCGAACAGGAUUAGAUACCCUGGUAGUCCACGCCGUAAACGAUGUCUAUUAGCCGUUGGGCAGCUUGACUGUUUAGUGGCGCAGUAACGCGAUAAAUAGACCGCCUGGGGAGUACGGCCGCAAGUUA